AGUUGAUAAAGACAUGCUGUUGCUACAAUGAGACAGAUCAUUUGUUGUGGGGGCUGUUGAACCACACUUAACAAGCUGAGGGAAGUGUAAAAUAUGUGGUCAUUUAUAUAUUUUGGUUGUGUGCAAGUACGGUGAGACAAGUCAUAAAGGUUCACAUGACUGCUGUACUGACAGGUGUGACCCUUUUAUUCAGUGUGGAGCCUGCAGGGGCUGACAGAUGAUAUGGAGUGUUUAAGUCACUAUAACAGCAGUUUUGUUUUGUAUCUGAUGAAAUUUUUAAGGAUGCUAAUGAAGGUCAGUAUUGACUUUUUUUUAAGGAGGCAAGAUAAAAGAUAUUUUGUAGCUUUAUUCAUCCAUAUACAGUAUGUACAGUAUUAGUAACAAGGGGAACCCACCAACCUCCUUGUAAUCUCCUAAAUUUCAUUUUCAUCUUCCUUUUUCCAUUCUCCCUUUAUUGCAUAUUUUCAGAAGUUCUUAUAUCCUUACCCACUGUCUUUUUUCUCUUCACCUCCCCUUUCCUUCUGUUCCAUUUCCUGGUGAUGGCACAGAAUUAUCAACAACAAGCUUUUGAUGGCUGAGGAUGAAGCCCGAAUAAACCAGAUACAGGCCAGGUCAUUAGCAGCAGGCAUGGCCGCCGUGCCCUCCAAGCCCGGGUGUUGAACCUGAGACCAAGCCAGAGUGAGGGCAGUGUCAUUCCUCCUGUCCACUACCCCAACUUCUACUCCCAACACUACCACAGCAAUGAGCGGUCUGGUGUGGUGGCUGAGGAUUCUUUUGAAGAGGACAACGCUUCUGCUUCAUCUGAGCAGGUGGUGAGCUACAGCUACCUGGCUGCACCUCAAGGCCAAAGCCACUCCAAAGAUGUGGUCUAUGGGUCUAGUGCAGCAGCCAAGCCUCCUUCCUCUGGCCACAGCUUCUCUGCCAGAUCUCCAACUCUUGGCCAGACACUUUCACUGGAAACUCAGAAAUCUGGUCAUACAGCAGCUCCUGGCCAUGCCUCAGACCAUACUCACCUCAGCACUACACCACCUGUUAUUACGUUAUUACUGCCUUCCAGUCCUCAAAAUUAUCUCACAUUUCCUCUUCCCCAUUAGUCCAUUCCUCAUCAUUCUCUGCACCAUCACCUUUUUUCUCCUCAUCCUUCUCACCUUCUGCUCACUCAUCAUCUCCCCCACAACCAUCACUCCCUCCUGCCUCUCCAUUUACUCAUCCUGAAGCCAUAUUUGCCAUGCACCAAACUUCUGCCACAGUUCACCCUGCUGAUCCCAGCCAAUUUAUCAUCAAGGACUCCACUUUCCAGUGCGUGUGUCAAGGCUGAAGGAAGGACUUGGAUAGUGAAUGUGAUAGUGUGGGUGAUUGGGCCACUCAGGAAAAAUUAUACGAUCAAUCAUACAAAAGUGUGAUGCAUGCUUCAAGUGCCAAUGAAGAGCAUUAUGAUAAGGAUAUAUAUAUAUAUAUAUAUAUAUAUAUACUCGUAUAUAUAUGCUUGGCUUUUGUCUCCAAACUCUCCCCCAUAGAGAGACUGUAUUAACCUGCAGAAAUAAAGCUAUCAUUCAGGGAAACUGGUUUGUUUGCCAAACAAACAUUACAUUGCUGAAUAUUCUGUGGCACAAAAUGCUUUGUCAGGAAUUGUGGCAAUGAUAUUUCAAUCCUUGUCUUUGUAUCCUACAAUUUGUAUGCUGAACAUAAACCUUAUCAACAAGU